CCGGCCCCGGCUGCGGCUCCGCUCGGCAGCGCCGCGGGGGCGGGCGGGAAGGCGGGCAGGGGAAAUCCCCAGGAUGGCCGGCCCCCUCCGCCGAGCGGGGACACCGCGUUAGUCACCGGGACCCUCCCCCCGAGCGGGGACACCGCGUUAGUCACCGGGACCCUCCCCCGGCGCUCGGCUCCGCCGCGCCAGCGCCGCGCCCCUCACAGCGCGGCAGCCGCGGCGGCCGCGGGAUGGCGGGGCCGGGGCCGCGCCCGGCCGGGCUCUGCGCGGGGCCCCGGCGCUCCGGGACCGGCGGCCUGAGGCGGCCCCGCUGUCCCCGGGCGUGAGAGGCGGCGGCGCGGGGCUGCGGGAGCGCCGGACCCACCAUGCGGGAGCUGGCGAUCGAGAUCGGCAUACGCGUGCUGCUCUUCGGGGUCUUCGUUUUUACGGAAUUUUUGGAUCCAUUCCAGCGAGUGAUCCAGCCAGAGGAGAUCUGGCUGUACAAAAAUCCCUUGGUGCAAUCAGACAACAUCCCCACACGGCUCAUGUUUGCAAUUUCGUUCCUCACGCCACUAGCAGUCAUUUUCGUGGUGAAAAUAAUCCGUCGAACGGACAAGACCGAAAUUAAAGAGGCUUUCUUAGCUGUUUCCUUGGCUCUAGCUCUGAAUGGUGUCUGCACAAAUACUAUUAAAUUAAUAGUGGGAAGACCGCGUCCCGAUUUCUUUUACCGCUGCUUUCCAGAUGGAGUAAUGAACUCUGAAAUGCACUGCACAGGUGAUCCAGACCUGGUCUCUGAAGGCAGAAAAAGCUUUCCAAGCAUCCACUCUUCCUUUGCAUUUUCAGGCCUUGGCUUCACCACCUUCUACCUGGCUGGAAAGCUGCAUUGCUUCACGGAGAGCGGCCGAGGGAAGAGCUGGAGGCUCUGUGCAGCAAUCCUGCCCCUCUACUGUGCCAUGAUGAUCGCCCUGUCACGGAUGUGUGACUACAAACACCACUGGCAAGAUGCUUUCGUUGGAGGGGUCAUUGGCCUCAUUUUUGCUUAUAUUUGCUACAGACAGCACUACCCUCCUUUGGGCAAUACAGCCUGUCACAAAUCUUAUGUCAGCCUGCUGGAUCAGAACUCAGUGAAGAAAGAAGAGAGACCCACAGCAGACAAUGCCACUGGGCUGCCUCUGGAGGGAAUAACUGAAGGUCCCGUAUGACUUUGAGAAAUGUGCAGAAUGAACUUUUAGCCUUCUCACAUUUCCUCCAAACUGGUCUCUUAACAGUGGUUCUUAAUGUACAUUUUUUCUUUUGUUUCUUUCCUUUUUAUAAAGGGAAUUUAAAUAUUUUAUUUUUAAUGCCAUGGUACCAUCAUACUUUUAAAGUUAAAUUUUCAGUUCAUACUCACUUGCUGAAUUAUCUGUUUUCAGUCUACUGCAAGCAGGUAGAACUACACAAAGAAAGGGGAAAGUACAUUAUUAAAAAGAAUCUCGUGGAGAAUGGUUAAGAGAGUACUUUUGAGAUGUGGCUGAGCAUAUACUAGAUCUGGAAACAGAUUUUCUGAAGUACUGAGUAUCUUCUACAAAGUUCUGGUCAUCUUCAGCACUCAUUGAUUUUGAUGGGUGCCGAGUACACAGAGCACUUUUCAUCAGGUGUUCAACAUCUGUAAUUUGAUAAUUUAGGGCAUCAUCCUUAUGUUUUCCUGCUGCCUUCUGACAUUAACAAAAAUCUCCACAUGCUGGUGGAACUUUGUAUUAAUUGUCAAGUUUUACCAAGGUUGUUCUGAGCUACUAAUGACUAAGAAGGAGAAAGGUGUGGCUGGUGAAGUGCUUGUGAGAUCCAAGCCUCAUGCAUUAGUAGUUGCACAGGAUGAUUCUCACUUUCAAGAAAGUCCAUGCUGUUAAAAUUGCCAACUAACAACAUACAGGAUGGAUUAGAAACUUGAUAUUGCACCAUCAGCAAUUUUUGAGAACUCUUGCAGUGUUUAACAUCAAAACAGUUUCGAAAGAAAAGAGCAUCCAUUGCAUUUAACAAGCUGAAGUCUUUCAAACAGAUGUUUUAAACCCCCUUAAGCUGGGAGGAUAAAGAGACACAAAGUUUUCUGUGGAUUUCGUUGUGCCAUGUUCAUUCUUGUGUAGUGACUCACUGCAGCAUUGGUGACCUGAGGAAAUGCAAAGAUUCUCAUUUGUGACUUUGGGCACACAACCACGAAUGCUUGUGGUGGUUUCCAGCACUGUAACAUAUCCAGAGGAAGGCUGGAGACAAUUUUCCACCAACCCCAUCCCACAUUUUCAGCUCACCAUGCUCUUGGGCAUGGUGCUUGCCAAGGUUGGUACCUGAAUUGGAACUCACCUGAAUCAAACCACUGUUGGUGUGGAGAAGGUUCAAGUGUGUGACUGAAGUUAAUUUAUUAUCAGUAGGAUUCUGUUUGUUACGUAUGCACUAUGCAGUAUACAUCACAUUCCUGUGAGAUGAUGUACCUUUGGAUGGCAGAAUGUCAGAUUCCAGGUUUUUUCUCCUUAGGUAUCCUGUGAGAAAUGCAGGCAAAAUAUUCCAGACCACACCCUGGCAGUUGAACAUUUCUUGGAGCAAUCAAGAUAAUGUUGAUCAACGACCACAAUUACGGUGCUUCAGACUGGAGGAGACUGCUGCCAUGAUUAUAAUUUCUGUGUUCCUGUUGGAAUAUGCAUCAGCCUCGUAGACAUUUUGUGAUUCAAACAGCUCAAUGUCUUUAUGUAAGGCUUGUCAUUUACUUUCCUCAAAGCUAAGCUUUGUAGAUUUUUGUUUUGAGAAGAGCUGCUUCCUGAUUGGCAACACUUGAAUUUUUAUAAAAAGCAAGCAAAUUAGGGUCCCCUUAAAAAUAAACCUAAUAAUUGUGUACAAGAGGAUGCAACCUUGCUGUGUAUAAAUUUGUAUGAUAUUUGGAAAUGGCUAUAAAUAGGAAGUGACAUUAAGGAACAGAAGGUAACAGGAGUGAACCCGGGAGGCUCUGUAGAAAUCAGGCCUUGCAAAGCUGGUACAGUUUAACUGAGUCAGAGGGAGGAUCUUUCACUUACAGAAUUCUGAGCUCUACAACAGAGACAGUUGAACUUAGCUGUGGUUUUCCUGGUGAAUAUACAGUAAUUCACAAUACCAGCAUCAGCAAAGCAAAAUUACUUGGCAGUUGCACUGGAUUUGACAGAGCACUCCUCUGGUGUGGUUGAGAUCUUAUUCUAGAAAUCCACAGAGUUCAGUGGGGGUUUAAUCUUCCUACAAAGUUUUUAAACCAUCCUACAGAAUUCUGUAACAAAUAUAGUUUUCUAUUACUUCAUGUGGGAGGAUUACUGAGAGCCCCAGAGCCAGGGUGAGGUUAACCAUUAGCUCCUUCUUUCAGCAGGAACCCUAGUCUUCCAGGUUAUAUGCAAAUGUUAAAAAAAGAAUAAAUCGUCAAUCAAAAUUAGAAAUUUAAUACUGAUGCAUAGAGCAUUUUGCAUGUUUUUGUAUAGAUCUGGCUUAUUCUCAAAAUGGAGUGGGGCCUUCUAACUGUGCUGUACACAUUCUCGGUAUUUUAAUGGCUUUUGGUACAGGCAGGCUGUUUUGAGGAUGAGGAAAAGCUCAUCCAGCCCUCAAGGGCUGUUAAAGGAUUGGAACAUGAAGUGUAAUACAGCACAAAAACUGAAAUUGCAGGAGUAAUUGGUGACCAGUAAAGAAUAACACAUUUUAAUGGGAAUAAUUAAAUUGAGAGUAAUAAAGUAGACAGUGUAAAAGGUUUGAUUAAAAUGUAAUUAAAAUUAUGAAAGACUUAAUGGAAUGAAACUUGUGGAGGGAUCUGUAGGUGCCACAAUCACCAGUGCAAAGUCAGCGUAGGGAAGGCAUUUUUGUGGAUCAAUGUAUUUUAAUCUCAUGCUUUCUCAAUGUGAAGGAAAUGUAAUGUUGUAAUGCACCAAUAAAACAACACAUGAAUGUGGGUUUGUA